rnacentral:rRNA from 1 species
AUUGAACGCUGGCGGCAGGCCUAACACAUGCAAGUCGAGCGAGUGGCGGACGGGUGAGUAAUGUAUGGGGAACUGCCUGAUGGCGGGGGAUAACUACUGGAAACGGUAGCUAAUACCGCAUACCAUCAGAUGUACCCAUAUGGGAUUAGUGUGUAGGUGGGGUAAAGGCUCACCUAGGCGACGAUCCCUAGCUGGUCUGAGAGGAUGAUCAGCCACAUGGGGACUGAGACACGGCCCAGACUCCUACGGGGUGACGGAGUGGGGACUAUUGCACAAUGGGCGCAAGCCUGAUGCAGCCAUGCGGUGGGGAGGAAGAAGGCCUUCGUGUUGUAAAGUACUUUCAGUCGGGUGGCGUUACCUGCAGAAGAAGCACCGGCUAACUCCGUGCCAGCAGCCGCGGUAAUAC